rnacentral:rRNA from 1 species
ACGAAGCUGGCGGCAGGCUUAACACAUGCAAGUCGAGCGCCCCGCAAGGGGAGCGGCAGACGGGUGAGUAACGCGUGGGAACGUACCUUUUGCUACGGAAUAACUCAGGGAAACUUGUGCUAAUACCGUAUGUGCCCUUCGGGGGAAAGAUUUAUCGGCAAAGGAUCGGCCCGCGUUGGAUUAGCUAGUUGGUGAGGUAAAGGCUCACCAAGGCGACGAUCCAUAGCUGGUCUGAGAGGAUGAUCAGCCACACUGGGACUGAGACACGGCCCAGACUCCUACGGGAGGCAGCAGUGGGGAAUAUUGGACAAUGGGCGCAAGCCUGAUCCAGCCAUGCCGCGUGAGUGAUGAAGGCCCUAGGGUUGUAAAGCUCUUUCACCGGUGAAGAUAAUGACGGUAACCGGAGAAGAAGCCCCGGCUAACUUCGUGCCAGCAGCCGCGGUAAUACGAAGGGGGCUAGCGUUGUUCGGAUUUACUGGGCGUAAAGCGCACGUAGGCGGACUUUUAAGUCAGGGGUGAAAUCCCGGGGCUCAACCCCGGAACUGCCUUUGAUACUGGAAGUCUUGAGUAUGGUAGAGGUGAGUGGAAUUCCGAGUGUAGAGGUGAAAUUCGUAGAUAUUCGGAGGAACACCAGUGGCGAA